GACGAACGCUGGCGGCGUGCUUAACACAUGCAAGUCGAGCGGAAAGGCCCUGCUUUUGUGGGGUGCUCGAGUGGCGAACGGGUGAGUAACACGUGAGUAACCUGCCCUUGACUUUGGGAUAACUUCAGGAAACUGGGGCUAAUACCGGAUAGGAGCUCCUGCUGCAUGGUGGGGGUUGGAAAGUUUCGGCGGUUGGGGAUGGACUCGCGGCUUAUCAGCUUGUUGGUGGGGUAGUGGCUUACCAAGGCUUUGACGGGUAGCCGGCCUGAGAGGGUGACCGGCCACAUUGGGAAUGAGAUACGGCCCAGACUCCUACGGGAGGCAGCAGUGGGGAAUAUUGCACAAUGGGCGGAAGCCUGAUGCAGCAACGCCGCGUGCGGGAUGACGGCCUUCGGGUUGUAAACCGCUUUCGCCUGUGACGAAGCGUGAGUGACGGUAAUGGGUAAAGAAGCACCGGCUAACUACGUG
rnacentral:rRNA from 1 species